GAUAUUGGGUGUGCUUGAGACACUUUGGGGGACUCUCUGCGACAUCAAGAGAACAUAUGUGAGCUAGAGAUCAUGUGUGACAUUGUGCAACAUGGUGAGGACAGGAGCAUUGUGUGUGUCACACGGGUAGAUGAUGUGUGAGGGAGGGCAAGAAUGAAUGAGUGUGAUCCACUAAUUUAUGGCGUGAGAAAGCAGCGUGGGAGGUCUGGGGGGGCUGGGUGUGACCCAGUGACCCUGUGAGUGUGAGACAGGAUAUGUCAGCCACACUGAUGAUGUGUGAGAAGCUGGAUGUGACUGUGUGUGACACGGGGAGACUGAGAGACUGGCCCCGUGUCAUGACAGUUGUGAGAGCGUGUGCAACUGUCCAGGGCACUCAGAUGAGUGUGCGAGAGAGAACUUCUGUGGGUAAGUGUGUGACACCGGGAGAUUGCUGCAUGAGGGUGACAACUGUGUGUGACACAGAUUGUGAAGCUUGGCAAGACAUCUUGAGAGACUGUGUGCGACACUGCGUGGAACCGUGUGUGCCCACUUGACCCUCUGAGAUGGUCUUUCUGACCGUGGUUGUGUAGGAUGUCACUGGCGAUGAUGGGUUGCACUAGGAGAGAUUGUGAAUGGCUGUGUGGCAUUUCGAAAGACCAUGUGCCUUCAGCGCUGUGGGAGGUUUUGUGUGGAGCACAGGUGAUUCAGGAGAUGGUAGCAGCAUCCUGUGACACAGCAAGAUAUUAUGCCUCUCUCUGCCAGGGACCGUGAGUGUGAGUCUGCGUGCUGAGCGGGGUUGUCUGGGAUGGGGUGACACUCAGGGGGCGGCUGUGACAGAGUGGCAGGGCGUAUGUAAUGGGUGAGAGGCUGUGGGGGACCCACAGGAGAUGCGUGUGAUGGUGGAAUAAAUGUAGCAGGGCAUGGGGCACCUCUUGAGACUGUCUUUACCUGUGAGUGAGUGUGUGAGUGUAUGUGCAAGAGACUGAAAGAGGACACUGCAAGAGAGACAGAGGAAGGGGGAGACACAGAGAACAGAAGACACAGAGAGGAGAAUGGACAGACAGGCAGAUGUAACAAGAGGACUCGGACAGACAGACUGGAGGAGGCUAGGGCUAUGGGGAUGGUGGUGGAGGUAGCUGGAGGAGGCGGGUCUUCAGGGGCUGUGCCCCCAGAGAGGGGGCGGGGCAGGCGGGGGGGAGGGGACCCAGACGCUGCAUCCCAGCCUCUGCCACCCGCUCACCAUCCUAGCCCCGAACAGCAACAGGUAGGAGGCUCCCGUCCUUGUCCCCACACCUCGUCCCUCUGCCUGGGAGUGAAUGAAUGACUUUCUACGUCUGCAUCUCUGUCAGCCUCUCUCGCCCUCUGUCCUUCCAUGUCCCCCUUCUUCAUUCCAUCUCCCCUCCAUCUCCCUCUCUGUCCCCUGUCCCUUCAUCUCUUCUGUGCCUUUUUCUCCCCCUCUAUCACUGUUGCUUCCUCUCUGCUCCAUUUGUCUCCCUCCAUCCUUCCCCAACCCAUCCAUCUCCCCUUCUCUAUCCUCCCUCUCUCCCUUUGUCCCCUUUGUGCUUCUCUCCCCGUUUCACGCCACCCCUUUCUUUACUCUAUUUGUCUCCCCCCUCUCUCCUCCCUCCAUCACUUCGUCCCUCUGCCAUAUCUCCAUCUUUCUAUCCCUCCUCAGUCUCUUUAUUUACCCAUGUGCCUCGUCUCUCCCUCUGUCACUUCAUCCUUCCAGUGCCCCUCUAUCUGCCCCUCUCUCCAUCCUCUUUGCCUCUCUCCCAGUCUUGCCUGGGUUGCCCCCCCUCUCCAGGCCUCUCUCCGGCUGCUAAUGAGCAGAGGCGCCUUUGAGNNNNNNNNNNNCGCCGAGGGGGCCGGAGGGGGCAGCUGCUGCCAAGGCCCUAAUGAGGCCCCCUCUGCGCCCCUCCCGCCGCGAUCUUAAUUCCUUGUUCUCCCUGGAACCACCGCUAAUUGGCCUGCGGAGGUCCCCCCUCCUGGCUCACGCUCUAUCCCCAGGAGGUGAGGACACCUGGAUCUCCCUGGAUCCUGAUCCAACACCUGUGGCCCUGUCCUUCCGUCUUCUGCACUGUCUCUCAGCCUCCCAUCUGUGCUUCCCUCCUGCCUGCCCUCUCCGCUCCCUGUUCCUCUCUCCACCUGCCUCUAGGUACCCCACCUGCUCAGCCCUCCAUCCCUUCUCUUGCCCCUCUCCUCUCCAUCCGUCUCUCCCUCUUUCCGCCGCCCACUUCUUGGGCCUCCACCUGUGCGUCUCUUCAUCUCUCUCCCCUUUUCUUAUUUUCCUCUCCCUCCACCAGCCUCUGGGCACCGCAUUCGUGGGCCCUUUAAGGUACUGGGUCCCACCACCACCGCCAUCCCUAUCUGGGGACCCGGCUUUGCCCUAGCCUACCCCUCAGCCCCCACUCCGGGCGGCUUUUAACCCUUUCCCCGCUGCAGUCAUGUCCAACAACAUGGCCAAGAUCGCGGAGGCCCGGAAGACGGUGGAACAGCUGAAGCUGGAGGUGUCGCAGGCGGCCGCUGAGCUCCUGGCCUUCUGCGAGGCUCACGCCAAAGACGACCCACUGGUGACGCCGGUACCCGCCGCAGAGAACCCCUUCCGCGACAAGCGCCUCUUCUGCGUCCUGCUCUGAGCCCUCUCGACAGUUGACCGUGCCCUUGCCCUCCCCCGCCAAAGUAUGAAUCUAAUAAACGCGGUGACUGUG
ensembl:lncRNA